rnacentral:rRNA from 1 species
AGGGAAUCUUCGGCAAUGGACGGAAGUCCGACCGAGCAACGCCGCGUGAGUGAAGAAGGUUUUCGGAUCGUAAAGCUCCGUUGUAAGAGAAGAACGAGUGUGAGAGUGGAAAGUUCACACUGUGACGGUAUCUUACCAGAAAGGGACGGCUAACUACGUGCCAGCAGCCGCGGUAAUACGUAGGUCCCGAGCGUUGUCCGGAUUUAUUGGGCGUAAAGCGAGCGCAGGCGGUUAGAUAAGUCUGAAGUUAAAGGCUGUGGCUUAACCAUAGUAGGCUUUGGAAACUGUUUAACUUGAGUGCAAGAGGGGAGAGUGGAAUUCCAUGUGUAGCGGUGAAAUGCGUAGAUAUAUGGAGGAACACCGGUGGCGAAAGCGGCUCUCUGGCUUGUAACUGACGCUGAGGCUCGAAAGCGUGGGGAGCAAACAGGAUUAGAUACCCUGGUAGUCCACGCCGUAAACGAUGAGUGCUAGGUGUUAGACCCUUUCCGGGGUUUAGUGCCGUAGCUAACGCAUUAAGCACUCCGCCUGGGGAGUACGACCGCAAGGUUG